GAGCUGACUGCUUGAAUUUGUGGUUCCCACACAGGUGCUGCAUCCCGCACAACGUUCUUUUCUGCGGCAGAUGCACAAUCAACGUUUGAGUUGCCAAACGUAAAGCUGCAAUAACUUGAUCUCAACAUAAAGGAGGACAAGAACGAUUGUGGGAAGGAUAAAAAUGGAAUAACUAGACAAUGCACUGCAGGCAAAACUAGUUGACACAUCUGCUCAUCAGCUACAUCCAUCAUAUGUGGUGCAGGAUCAGGAGAGGAGCUACUCUGCAAGUACCCAACAUAUCAGCACUGUGGACACGGAGCGGCAAACUGGGCAGGUGGUGGAAGAGUCUGUACUUAAUGAGCGAGACCUGGCUUUAAUUUCCACAAGGACUAUUGGUUACCCUGAGCUUAUGCAUAACCCUCACAAGCCUUUCCAUGUAUUUCUAAAGGUGUGUUAACCAAGAAAGAUACAACAAUCUUUUGCAGAACAUCCCUUAAAGGUGUUCUAGAUACGUUCCAUCAUUAUAUUCGCUGAUCUGGACAAACUCCAUCAGUUUUGAUCUUUCAUCAUUUUUUUGUUGCCUAGAAGUUUGCAUCUGAAUGCAGUAAUUAUGCUCCCAACAUUCUCCAUUCCUCUAUUUAAACAUUCCCAGCUAUUUGUUCCAGCCAGACAUGGCAUAUGUUUGAACGGCAAGUGACACUGUCCUGAGAGACUGAGUUGAAUCCCAGUCCUUUCCUGCUUACCUGAAGAAUUCUCCUGGCUUCUAACACAGAGCUGCCAGACAUUGAUCUCCCGUCCAUCUAACCUGGAAACCUAAAUUAGGUGCUGUGACUAUUCCUGACUAGCUCCAGAGAAGGCAACUGCAAAGCUCCUACUAAAUUCUGACUCCUUAGUCCCAGAUACUAAGUAAUCUGAAGUUCUCAUGCAGGUAGAUAAUCUCUGCUAAAUUAUCUCUGACAAAGCCUUUAUGCUAUGCUGCUACAUGUAGAUGCUCCCCAUUCCAUAGCAAUGUAAAUGCAGACUAUAUCACUGAGGUCAAUGUACCUAAUAUGCCAUCUGGGCAUCUGACACAAAAAUAACUACAAAAGGGUUCCUCAGCGUAAUGUUCAUAGAGAUGAAAAGCAAACAUAAGAGACAAAAAAAUAAUAAUACUAGUAACCACAUUUAGAAAAGCAGCAUUGGCUUUCAUGAUUUUUCUUUUUCACUUAUCUUCUCAAUUUUAAACUUUGUUACUAAUUGUUACUAAUUAAUUGUUACUAAUAUGUAUUACUGUAGGACUGAAAAGCUGCAGUUUAGUGAAGAAUAACAGACUACAUUAAAUCUAAGGAUUAUUACUGUGUUUUUGUAAAUUUUGUGCUAAUAAAAAGGAACUGAGCUUGUGUAAAUGAAGAUUA
ensembl:lncRNA